rnacentral:rRNA from 1 species
UACGGGGGAGGCAAGCGUUGUUCGGAAUUACUAGGCGUAAAGGGCUCGUAGGCGGCCAACUAAGUCAGACGUGAAAUCCCUCGGCUUAACCGGGGAACUGCGUCUGAUACUGGAUGGCUUGAGAUUGGAAGAGGGAUGCGGAAUUCCAGGUGUAGCGGUGAAAUGCGUAGAUAUCUGGAGGAACACCGGUGGCGAAGGCGCCACUCUGGGCCGAAACUGACGCUGAGGAGCGAAAGCGUGGGUAGCAAACAGG